rnacentral:rRNA from 1 species
CCUACGGGAGGCAGCAGUGGGGAAUUUUCCGCAAUGGGCGAAAGCCUGACGGAGCAAUACCGCGUGAGGGAAGAAUGCCUACGGGUUGUAAACCUCUUUUAUCAGGGAGGAACAAAAUGACGUGUACCUGAUGAAUAAGCAUCGGCUAACUCUGUGCCAGCAGCCGCGGUAAGACAGAGGAUGCAAGUGUUAUCCGGAAUUACUGGGCGUAAAGCGUCUGUAGGUUGUUGAACAAGUCAACUGUUAAAUCUUGAAGCUCAACUUCAAAAUCGCAGUCGAAACUGUUUGACUAGAGUAUAGUAGAGGUAAAGGGAAUUUCCAGUGGAGCGGUGAAAUGCGUAGAUAUUGGAAAGAACACCGAUGGCGAAAGCACUUUACUGGGCUAUUACUGACACUCAGAGACGACAGCUAGGGUAGCAAAUGGGAUUAGAUACCCCAGUAGUCCUAGCCGUAAACUAUGGAUACUAGAUGUUGAACAGAUCGACCUGUGCAGUAUUAAAGCUAACGCGUUAAGUAUCCCGCCUGGAAGUAUGCUCGCAGAGUGAAACUCAAAGGAAUUGACGG